UUCGGUGUAGACAAAUUGGUAAAGUCGCUAGGCUUUGACCCUAGAGCGUGGAGGUUCGACCCCUUCCACCGAAG
rnacentral:tRNA from 2 species